UCAAAACACAUCCAUUUUGUACGCAAGC
rnacentral:piRNA from 1 species